UUUCAAACCACCACAUCACUGAAUAGAAGAAAGGCACUGGGAAAUAACGAGAUGUUCGAGAGUUGAAAGGGAAGCUGGUUGCCGCUGAGGCUAGGAGAUCUGGCAAAACUCUGCAGUUAUACACAAGGUGACAGUGUGAAUUCAGAUAUAACACAACUUGCAGCUGGCUCCUGGCCGGAAUCAAUGGCAGUUAUAUCCCUAAUUUUCAAAUUGGCCUCAGUGCAUUGGAUGAUACCCUUGCUGCUGAUGUGGGAUCUUCAGUUCUAAGUCUACUGAUUCAAAUACUGACUUCCUCUGAGGACACAGAUGCACUCAGAAAGAAUGCCUUACCUGGGCAUCCCUGAGUGCAAUCCACAUACACAGAGAUGAAUAGCUACAAGCCUGUAUAAAUUCACCUCAUAAGUGGCUAAACAGUAACAUAACUGGGUAUCAAUGGCCCUAGUAAAGUUCUAUCAUGAGUUAAUUCAUGAAAAAAAUUGAUUUUUAUCCAUAUUUUCAAUAUUGAUGAAAUACAUGAUUUUUAUACUAUUAUAGGAUAAAUAGAACUUGUGUUACAUGGUUUGUGUAGCUGCUGUUUUUGUUUGAAGUAAUUCUAAACUGCAAGAGAUAGCACAUAACUGUAGUCACAGCUACCGAGGAGUAGCUUGAACCCAUAGGUUUGGUGUAGCAUGAGUAACAGUGAAACUAUGUCUUAAGAUGUUAUCAAGAUGAGAUAGAAUUUAUAUAAUAUAAGAGCCACCCAUUGUAAUUGUAUGUACCAGUCAGGAUUUUCUAGAGGAACAGAACCAAUAGUACGACUAUAUUAAGACUUCACUAAAUCAGCUUACAUCACCAUAGUAACAACUGUCUCACAGCUGAGAGACUGGGAACCUGAUAGUUGCAUUGUCUAUGAGGCUGUGUGCCCUAGCAGGCCCAUUCUGGUGCCAAAAGUGUAGACAACUCCUGGAGAGCUGCUGGUCCUGAGUCAAUGAUGGAAGCCUGGAAAGGCUGGUUCUGAUGUCAGUGAAAGGAUCACCAUCAUCAUCACCACCACCAUCACCACCAACAAAGUAGAUUAACGUCAUAGCAAGAGGGAAAACACAGCAGACCAAUGAAAGUCCACUGGUCUUGGUAGCUGUGGUCAGGAAGCCAUCCGACCUGCAGUAGAUGCAUUUUUCCCAUUGUUCUACACCCUACAUAUUCCCAUCUUUGGUGUGG